rnacentral:rRNA from 1 species
CAGCAGCCGCGGGAAAACGGAGGGGGCUAGCGUUGUUCGGAAUUACUGGGCGUAAAGCGCACGUAGGCGGCUUGGUAAGUUAGAGGUGAAAGCCUGGAGCUCAACUCCAGAAUUGCCUUUAAGACUGCCGAGCUAGCAGGUGAGAGAGGUAAGUGGAAUUCCGAGUGUAGAGGUGAAAUUCGUAGAUAUUCGGAAGAACACCAGUGGCGAAGGCGGCUUACUGGCUCAUACUGGACGCUGAGGUGCGAAAGCGUGGGGAGCAAACAGGAUUAGAUACCCGGUAGUCCCUGUCUCUUAUACC